UGGGGAAUUUUGGACAAUGGGCGAAAGCCUGAUCCAGCAAUGCCGCGUGUGUGAAGAAGGCCUUCGGGUUGUAAAGCACUUUUGUCCGGAAAGAAAUCCUUGGCUCUAAUACAGUCGGGGGAUGACGGUACCGGAAGAAUAAGCACCGGCUAACUACGUGCCAGCAGCCGCGGUAAUACGUAGGGUGCAAGCGUUAAUCGGAAUUACUGGGCGUAAAGCGUGCGCAGGCGGUUUGCUAAGACCGAUGUGAAAUCCCCGGGCUCAACCUGGGAACUGCAUUGGUGACUGGCAGGCUAGAGUAUGGCAGAGGGGGGUUAGAAUUCCACGUGUAGCAGUGAAAUGCGUAGAGAUGUGGAGGAAUACCGAUGGCGAAGGCAGCCCCCUGGGCCAAUACUGACGCUCAUGCACGAAAGCGUGGGGAGCAAACAGGAUUAGAUACCCUGGUAGUCCACGCCCUAAACGAUGUCAACUAGUUGUUGGGGAUUCAUUUCCUUAGUAACGUAGCUAACGCGUGAAGUUGACCGCC
rnacentral:rRNA from 1 species